rnacentral:rRNA from 1 species
UAAGCGGAGGAAAAGAAACUAACAAGGAUUCCCCUAGUAACUGCGAGUGAAGCGGGAAAAGCUCAAAUUUAAAAUCUGGUGGUCUUUGGCCAUCCGAGUUGUAAUUUAGAGAAGCGUCUUCCGCGCUGGACCGUGCACAAGUCUCCUGGAAUGGAGCGUCACAGAGGGUGAGAAUCCCGUCUUUGGCAUGGACAUACCAGGGCUUUUGUGAUGCGCUCUCGAAGAGUCGAGUUGUUUGGGAAUGCAGCUCAAAAUGGGUGGUGAACUCCAUCUAAAGCUAAAUAUUGGCGAGAGACCGAUAGCGAACAAGUACCGUGAGGGAAAGAUGAAAAGCACUUUGGAAAGAGAGUGAAACAGUACGUGAAAUUGUUGAAAGGGAAACGCUUGAAGUCAGUCGCGUCGACCGAGACUCAGCCUCGCCUCGGCUUGGUGUACUUCUCGGCUGACGGGUCAGCAUCAAUUUCGCCUCUUGGAUAAUGGCGAGGGAAAUGUGACACCUUUACGGUGUGUUAUAGUCUCUCGUCGCAUGCAAGGGUCGGGAUUGAGGAACUCAGCACGCGCCUUUGGGUGUCGGGGCUUUGCCCACGAUACGUGCUUAGGAUGUUGGCGUAAUGGCUUUAAACGACC